UACGUAGGGACCAAGCGUUGUCCGGAAUCAUUGGGCGUAAAGCGCGCGUAGGUGGCCAUUUAAGUCCGCUGUGAAAGUCAGAGGCUCAACCUUUGAAAGCCGGUGGAUACUGGAUGGCUAGAGUACGGAAGAGGCGAGUGGAAUUCCUGGUGUAGCGGUGGAAUGCGCAGAUAUCAGGAGGAACACCAAUAGCGAAGGCAGCUCGCUGGGACGUUACUGACACUAAGGCGCGAAAGCGUGGGGAGCGAACGGG
rnacentral:rRNA from 1 species